CCGGUGCUUUCCGGUCGCGAGCUGUAGAUACCACCUCGCGUCGCAAUGGCGCUCUCUCUGAGCCUCUUUUUGGGCGGUCGUGUCCGCACCUCUCUCGCUCGCUGUGGGUUCGCGUCCCAGGUCAUGGCGGGCCCGGGUUCUGUCAGCUGCGAGCCGGACCCCGAUUCCGACUGGGAGCCGGAGGAGCGGGAGCUCCAGGAGGUGGAGAGGUACCUGCUUCGUGGCGAGCCCUCAGCCUGGAGUUAGGCUUCGCGCCCCGGCGUUCCAUGCGCCCCCCCCCAGCUCCGGGCGUCCGGCAGCCGCGUCUGCACAGGCUCUAGUUUCUUCUCAUCCGUUGUCUAGGGCACAGGGGCAAGUGAUCAGCUCCCUUGACACCCUAGGUCCCGUUGCUUAGUGACGUGUUUCAUCACCCGUUAGAGAGUUCGGCAUGCUUACGUUCAGGUGCUGUAGGUGUUAGGUUUCUGGGGGCAGUGCACCCAGAGUGCUUUAACCUGGCAGACAUGCGGUCAGACGAGAGGGCUGAGCUCUCCAAGAUUUAGUUGGAUGCUUUUUGAAACACUAGUCUUGCUUCCAAGCUCGGCUUUUGCCAUUGGUUCUUUCCCCCAGCGCUUUGAAACGUCAGAAAAAAGCAAUGCGAUUCCAGAAAAUACGAAGGCAAAUGGAGGCUCCAGGUGCACCACCCAGAACACUGACGUGGGAAGCCAUGGAGCAGAUCCGGUAUUUACAUAAGGAAUUUGCAGAGUCCUGGUCAGUUCCAAGGUUGGCAGAAGGCUUUGAUGUCAGCACUGAUGUUAUCCGAAGGGUUUUAAAAAGUAAGUUUGUACCCACUUUAGAGCAGAAACUGAGGCAGGACCAAAAGGUCUUGAAAAAAGCUGGGUUUACCCGAGAGAUUGGUCAGCUCCCCGUUUCUGAAGAUACCUUGAAGGCGCUCAGUGCAGGCCGCUCUGUGUCUGGCCUGCUGAUGGCAGGGGAUGAAGUCUCCUCUAAAAGUCAGAAUCACAGCACAGCUUUGAAAGUGGCGAAGUCGCACCCUCACAGCACAGACGCACAGAAGAAACGGGAAGGGAGGGAUAAAAGAAUCCAAGUCUUGGAAGAGAGCCUAGUGCCUGCCACCACAGCCUUGGGUCAUCAGCGAGAGCUUCAGAAAUCCGCCACCAGUGACUCCGAGGCCACCGGAAGAGCUGGCAGUGAUACGUUACCAAGUGCUGUGCUGCUGGAAGAGCUGAAGCCCGGGGAGCCGGGUGACCAGAGCUUCAGCAGCAAGGUAGUGCAGAGAGGGCAUGACUUCUUUGACAGCAAUGGAAACUUCCUCUACAGAAUUUGAGCCUACGACUGGCUUUUGGAGAUGUCUUGACACAGCUGGACAGGUAGACUUGAAGCUGCCAGCAUUUUUGCACACCAUUGGCCACUUUGGAGUAAGAGUUGGUGAGGCUAGAAUGUGGGUGGAGGAGCUACUUAGGCAGGGUCAGACUUCCUGGAGUAAGCCCCAUGGGUCCCCUCCGGAUCUAAGCACUCAUUGGUCUUUGUUGCUUGGUGGUCUCUCUGUUGAGAACAAGAAUUAUAUGUAUCCUGUGGUGGAUUUUUGUGAUACUAUAUUGGGAGAAAAUUGAAAGAUUGCCUCCUGACCUCAUUUCCUUUCUAAUCACUGGACAAUCUAUUCUUGAUCUGUUUAAUCAAUUGGUUUCCUUAUGUAUGAAAUAAAGUGAAAUGGAGCAGUU